rnacentral:rRNA from 1 species
GGGUUGUGAGGUUAAGCGACUAAGCGUACACGGUGGAUGCCCUGGCAGUCAGAGGCGAUGAAGGACGUGCUAAUCUGCGAAAAGCGUCGGUAAGGUGAUAUGAACCGUUAUAACCGGCGAUGUCCGAAUGGGGAAACCCAGUGCAAUUCGUUGCACUAUCGUUAACUGAAUACAUAGGUUAACGAGGCGAACCGGGGGAACUGAAACAUCUAAGUACCCCGAGGAAAAGAAAUCAACCGAGAUUCCCCCAGUAGCGGCGAGCGAACGGGGAGCAGCCCAGAGUCUGAAUCAGCUUGUGUGUUAGUGGAACGGUCUGGAAAGUCCGACGGUACAGGGUGAUAGUCCCGUACACCAAAAUGCACAGGCUGUGAACUCGAAGAGUAGGGCGGGACACGUGGUAUCCUGUCUGAAUAUGGGGGGA